AUUGAACGCUGGCGGCAGGCCUAACACAUGCAAGUCGAGCGGUAGAGAGGUGCUUGCAUCUCUUGAGAGCGGCGGACGGGUGAGUAAUGCCUAGGAAUCUGCCCUAGUGGUGGGGGAUAACGUUCGGAAACGGACGCUAAUACCGCAUACGUCCUACGGGAGAAAGCGGGGGAUCUUCGGACCUCGCGCCAUUAGAUGAGCCUAGGUCGGAUUAGCUAGUUGGUGAGGUAAUGGCUCACCAAGGCGACGAUCCGUAACUGGUCUGAGAGGAUGAUCAGUCACACUGGAACUGAGACACGGUCCAGACUCCUACGGGAGGCAGCAGUGGGGAAUAUUGGACAAUGGGCGAAAGCCUGAUCCAGCCAUGCCGCGUGUGUGAAGAAGGUCUUCGGAUUGUAAAGCACUUUAAGUUGGGAGGAAGGGUAGGUAACCUAAUACGUUGCUACUUUGACGUUACCGACAGAAUAAGCACCGGCUAACUUCGUGCCAGCA
rnacentral:rRNA from 1 species